AUCCUUUCAUCUUGCUCUGGUAUCAAACUCUCUGCAAUCCAUAGCCUAAACAAUUUAUGCGUGGGAAUGGGGUGGUCUUCAGGGAACUGUCUGAGAUGGAGAAAACAAGAUUUGAGGUAAUAUGGCAAAUCGUUGUAACUCAAAGCCAGUUUAGCUGAUACCCCAUUUGGGUCUUGAGCAAAGAACGAGCUCAUAUUGGAAAGAACCCUUUUCCAUUCUCCCACAUUUCUUUUUCUUGAAAGCAAUCCUCCCAUCACAAUGAUGGCUAGUGGUAAACCAGCACAUUUUUCAACAAUCUCCUCCCCAAUUUCCUCCAACUGUGGGGAACGAUGGGCAUCAGCGCUAUCAAUGAAAGCUUUCCUGCAGAACAACAUCCAGCCAUUUUCUUCGCUCAGAAAAUGCAAGUCGUAGGGAACGCUUCUAGCAUCAGCUUUGAUGGCAAUACUCCUGUUGCGAGUCGUAAGCAUCACUCUGCUUCCAUUACUUCUGUGUGGAAAGGCCUCAGACAGAGAAUUCCAUGCUUCUAUGCUCCAUACAUCAUCCAAGACCACCAAAUACCGUUUUUUUCGAAGGUGGUCAUAGAGAACUUCUUCCAAUUCUUCUUCCCGCAAAGAUUCCAACUUUCGUCCUGUUGUCGCCACUUGCUUUAUAAUUGCCUGAAGUAUGUCUCUGGUACUGAAUUCCUGGGAUACAUAGACCCAUGCUCGGGUAGGAAAACGAGCCUGGAUUUCACCAUGAUUGUAAACCUUUUUGGCAAGAGUGGUCUUGCCAAUGCCUCCCAUUCCGACUAUUGAAAUUGCAUGCCAUUGGUCCUCAGUUUGGACAAGUUGUGUCAGCAGCUUAGCUAUAUCCUCGUCCAGGCUAACAAUAUCCUUUUCUUCACCGCGAGGAGAUGAUCUUCUCUGCUUCCGGAGCCUCUUCUUUGCAGUGCUCCCUUCUCCAAUGUUCUUGAUACCAUACUUUUCACGACUCUCAGAUAUAUCAGGGAUUCUUCCCUGGAUGGCCAUGAGUUCCUUCGCAAUCUUGGAGCGAUGUUUCCAAUCUAGGAAAAUGGAAGCACACCUUCUGAUGGGGUUCUUUUUCUUGACGGAAUCAAUUCUGAGGAUGAAUGUGUCAACGAUAUCCUCAACAUCAUAAGCAACAUUUCUAAUAUCCGAAAACCAGUUGCGCACUCUCUCAUCAUCAUCUUGCUUUGCAUCUGCAUCCCUCAAGAAACAUCGCAUCCGUAUAAAUUCAUCUUGUAGACGCACAACUUCAUCUAGAACAUUUUUUUUAAAAUCAAUCUCUUAUAGUAUGUAAACUAGCCUUUCUACCACAAUGGAAACAGCAGCUUCAGCCAUGCCAAAACACUUUAAUAUCUUCUAAUUGAUCUGAAAUGCGUUUGUCCCGAAUAAAGGAACUACAAUUCAAUUCAGUUUACUCUUACAUUCAAACCCAGAAGAAGCUUUGGUGUUUAUCAAAGAUGCAGGAGUCAACAUCAACAGAAAUCCACCCUCUCUUUUACCUCAAAAGUCAUCAAACCCACAGUUUCAUCUCACUAUAUCCGCUUAUAUACUCUUAGAUCUAGCAUACUAUCUAUGGAGGUUAAUUUCUUGUAGAUCUAGUUUGAUAGAGAAAAAAAAGAAGACAACUCAGUAAAAACUUAACUUUUCUCAUAGCUUAUCAUAGUCAUAGAAGUGUUCAGAUCUCAUCUUUUGGAGGGGGCAGUGGAACUGUGGAAGGUGUUCCAGUCCAGGCUUUGUAGCUUCAGCAGCUUGUAAAUAUCGCCAAAAAGGUUUCCCAGUACAAGCCGAGUUGCUCCAGCUUGUGGAUGUUGUUGUAAUCCAUCUUCCAGGUGCAAACAUGGACUUGUUUGCUUGUCUUGUUAGCUGGGUCACUUUUGAAGUUAGAUCUAAGUUUCUGUCUGGAUUGAAGUUCUGAUGUAAAGUCUCUUAUCAAUCCGCGUAUGGUUUAGCACGUUGUAAGUAAACGCGGUAUUGUAACUCUUCUGCAGCAAUAAUGAUAUAAGGUUUUGGCGUUUUACUUUGUUUUGGUUCACAACGGCUUUAAGUCACUAAUAAUGACCCUUUCGAGAAAGGUUGCUUUGGUUCGCAAUGGCUUUAAGUCAAUGAUAAUCGACCCUUUCUAGAAAGAGGCAAUGAAGGGUUUUAGGUGUGAACUGAAAUGCCCCCGGUAUGGCACAAAGCAGACCUUUUUUCUACUAAUUGAAAGAUGAAAAACAGCGAUUUGUUUCGCACCUUGUAUUCUCUCUUUGCGCCGCCCUAUCUCACCAGACAACCUUGUUCAUCUCUUACUCUCCCUCUAUCAGUUUUUUUCUCUGUUCUUCCUAGUAUCGAUCUGAUUGAAGUUUGACGGCUGCUUGGAAAUCUGUAUGAUCAUGUCGUACAAAGGAACAGAACCUGCAGCAUAGCCCAUUAGGCCUCCAUUAGAGGGGUAAGGCAGUAAAAUCCCGUCUACUUAUGGUCAGCCCUCCAAUUUCCAUUCUGACUCUGUACAUUCUCCUAUUGUUGGGGCCAUUAGAUUUUCAGUUUUGUAUCAUUUCUCUUCCUCCAUUGUCAUAAGCGUCCAUUUUCAAUCUUACGGUCAUGGAGAUUUCUUGCUUUCAUAGUUUGGUGUUGUUAGUUCACUUCUUUAUAUUGUGCACAACCCGUCUUCACUCAUUAAUCACUGAUCAAUCUGCGCUUCUGGCCUUGAAAGCCCAUAUCAAUCCCGAAACUCAAAAUAUCUUGGCAAACAAUUGGACAACAGCUACUUCUGUUUGCAAUUGGAUUGGUAUUACUUGCGGUGGCCAACCCCAGAGGGUCAUAGCCUUGAAUAUUUCUUCCAUGGAUCUAGAGGGCACCAUCCCUCCACACAUUGGAAACUUAUCUUCCCUACAAAUAAUUGAUCUCAGCUUUAAUAGACUAUCUGGUAGACUUUUCUUUUUCUUUUUUUUUUUUCUCAACCUUUUAAUAAACAAAUUGUUCAUGAGGUGAUCUAUCUUGAUGAUAAUGUCUUUGUAGGUACAAUUCCUGGGGAAAUAGGUUAUCUAACCAAUGUAAAGAAUCUGAACAUUUCAUAUAACCACCUUACAGGUGCAAUUUUAUUUGCCUUUUUUAAUAUUUGCCAAGAUAUGCCAUCAUACUUUUUAGUGUUUGAACUGCUUGAAUUUAUCCAGGUCACAUACCAAGCCGUAUUGGAAACUGUACAUUGCUCGAGGAAAUAAACUUCAGUGAAAACAACUUGACAGGUACUUUAUGCUUUUGUAGUUACAGCAUUAUCAGGCUGUUUGCUUAGGUCCCAACUCCUCAAACAAACUCCAUAUUGAAAAGGUUUGAGUUUGCCGCUGGAUCUGUACUGGUGCUGGUUGAUUAGAUGGAUCUUGGCAUAAAAUGGACUGUGGGGAAAGACGCUCCGGUGAGAGGGGGGUUGGAUGAUUUGUGUACUCUUAGCUGAGCCUGUGUAUACAAUGUCCUGUCAUGGAGGUAGUGUUAUGGCUGUGAUAAUAUUGCAUUACAAAGAAAUACCCUGCAUUACUAGGAGCCAUCAACACUAAAUGAAAAUUGUGCAGCUCCAUACCUCAUUUCUUUAGGAGAUAGAAAUAUAGUAUGGAAUCAAGUAGGAUAGCGUAGCGUGUGAACUUUUUGUCAUACAGAAGGACAGAUCAUAGCAUCUUUUCUGGAGCUAGAAUCCACCAUUGCGUAUUUUAGGGAGGUUGCUUUAUAUUGUCCAUUAUAAGUUCAUGUUUAUUUAUUUCCUUCUGUAGCUAGGCUUGAUCUGGAAACAACCUUCUUGAAAGAUUACAUUUCUUCCUCUUUGUACUUCUUAAUGCAAUAAUUGUUAAGAAUUGUGAGUAGAAACAGCAGAAUUAAAAUGCUGAAGUAAAUAUUGGUGGUUUCCGCUUUGUCCAGGUGCACUACCACCGGAGAUUGGAAAUCUUUCCAACCUAAAGGCAUUGAGAGUUAAUAAUAACGUCUUAAGGGGCAUUAUUCCGUCAACAAUCUUCAAUAUCUCAGCAUUACAAGUUGUCUUGCUAUAUGAAAACUCUCUUUCAGGAAACCUUCCAUCAAGUAUAGGCUUCUUCCUUCCAAAUCUUGCCGAGCUUCACCUUCGGGGAAAUGAACUUCAAGGAAUAAUUCCUAGCUCCAUCUCUAAUGCAUCAAAACUCACUCUCUUGGACUUGACAGAUAACUUCUUUACUGGCAGUAUUCCUAAUUCUAUUGGUAAUCUGAGAAAUCUCCAGAAACUUGAAUUAGCCCAGAAUAACUUAACCAGUGAAUCCUCCAUGGUGGAAUCAAAUUUUAUUUCUUCAUUGACACAAAACAGCCAUUUGAGAAGGAUUGUGCUAUCAGGCAAUCCUCUUGGUUCCAUCCUCCCCAUGUCCGUUGGUAAUCUCUCAGCUUUUCUUGAAUACUUUUUGGUGUCUGAUUGCAAACUUAAGGGCUUCAUUCCUGCUGAACUUGGCAAUUUAAGCAGCUUGAUAGCCUUAGAGCUGGGAAAAAAUGAACUGACUGGUAUUAUUCCAAAUACAAUUGGAAAACUACAAAAGCUGCAAGGUUUGCACCUUCAAAGCAAUAGAUUGCAAGGAACCAUCUUGUAUGAUCUUUGUCAAUUGAGCAGCUUGGUGGAAUUAUUCUUAGGUGGUAAUGAGCUUUCUGGAUCAAUACCAGAAUGCUUGGGUAAUCUUAAAGCUCUAAGAAAUAUCAGCUUAGGCUUUAACAGGUUAACUUCCAUGAUACCCUCAAGCUUGUGGAGCCUAAAUGAUAUCCUGGCCAUAGACUUGUCAUCAAAUUCUCUACAGGGGUCUCUUCCAUUAGAAAUUGAAAAUUUGAAGGUUGUGACUGAAAUUGAUUUGUCAAAUAAUCAGUUAUCAGGUUACAUUCCUAACAGCAUUGGGAAUCUCAAAAUGCUUGUGUAUCUUUCUUUAGCAGAAAAUAAAUUACAAGGCUCUAUUCCAGAAUCUUUUAGUGGUUCUAUAAGCUUAGAGUUCUUGGAUCUUUCUGUUAACAACCUCUCUGGAGUAAUUCCUAUGUCCUUGGUAAAGCUCCUUUAUCUUCAAUAUUUUAAUGUGUCUUCUAAUGAACUCCAAGGAGAAAUUCCCAGUGAAGGACCCUUUGCUAAUUUCUUAGCCCAAUCAUAUGUGAUGAAUAAAGCACUUUGUGGUGCAGCACGAUUGCAAGUUCCACCAUGCAAAACUGGUACCUCCAAAGGAACACGGAGAACUCUUUUUCUAUUUCUCAAGAUUUUUUUUCCAAUGAUUGCAUUAUGUUGUAUGCUAUUACUGAUCCAUGUGUUGGUAAAACAGUACUUCCAAAAAGGGAUGAUAGCUGUUCUUCCAACAAAAAGAAGAACAAUUUUGUACCAAGAAAUUGCGCUAGCAACAGAUGGAUUUAGUGAAAGUAACCUACUUGGCACUGGGGGUUUUGGUUCUGUUUACAAGGGAACAAUGAAAGAGGAGAAGAAUGUUGCAAUAAAGGUUUUCAAUAUGCAUACAGAAAGAGCAAUAAGGAGUUUUGAGGAUGAAUCCAAGUUAUUGUCCAUUAUUCAUCAUCCUAAUAUUGUCAAACUCAUUAACAGUUGCCGUGAUGAUGAUUUCAAAGCCUUGGUGCUAGAAUACAUGCCUAACGGGACCUUGGACAAGUGGCUUUACACUCAUAAUUAUUUUCUGAAUCUCUUGCAAAGACUUGACGUAAUGAUAGAAGUUGCAUCAGCAAUGCUUUACCUUCAUGCAAGACAUGCUGUUCACUUUGAUUUGAAACCUAGCAAUAUCCUGCUAGACGAAGAUAUGGUCGCUCAUGUUAGUGAUUUCAGCAUUGCCAAAAUCUUAGAUGAGCAGAAGGCUGUAAAACAAACCUCAACCUUGUCCACUGUUGGGUAUAUGGCACCAGGUAAUGUUUCUAUUUUGAUUUAUAUUUGCAUUAUAUAAUUCAUGUAUGCAUGUAAUUUUUCUUUAUCUGAAUAAUGCAUUUCUAUCUUACAUAUAGAGUAUGGAUCAAGUGGAAUUAUAUCUGAAAAAACAGAUGUGUAUAGCUUUGGUAUUCUACUGAUGGAAACAUUUACCAGAAAGAAACCCACAGAUGAAAUGUUUGAUGGAGAAAUGAACUUGAGGCGCUGGGUAUGUGAGUCAUUACCUCGUGCGGUAGAUAGAAUAACAGAUGUAGCUUUACUUGAGGCUGAUCAGGAAGCCAUAUCUGCCAAAAGAAAAUGUAUACUAUCAAUCAUGAAAGUGGCUAGGUUUUGCACUGCAGAGUUGUCUGUUGAGAGGAAGACUAUGAGAGAAGUUGAAGAAGAGCUCCAGAGGAUCAAAAAAAAUUAUUUAAGAGACAGUGAAUGUCAAGUCCAAAGAGAAAUAUAUCCAAGUAUUUCACGGCAAGAACUUCUAUUAGCAACGGAUGGCUUUAAUGAAAGUCAAAUAGUUCAGUAUGGGGAAUUUGGUGUCUUGUACAAAGGAAAAAUGCCAUCACCAUAUGGGCAUGAUGUAUACAGAGCAAUAAAGGUUUUUAAUCGAAUAAAAAGAGGGCGGGAGAGUUUUGCAGUUGAAUCUGAAGCACUGUCCUUUAUUCGCCAUCGGAAUGUUGUCAAAAUCUUGAAGAUGUGCAAUGAAGUUGAUUUUAAAGCAUUGGUUCUGGAGUACAUGCCCUAUGGAUCUCUGGAACAAUGGCUUCAUUACAAUGAUGAUGACAGCCCCUUAAGGAAUAUCUUGACAAUGCUUAAUACAAUGAUAGAUGUGGCAUCAGCUUUGUGCUACCUCCAUACAAUGUGUGUCAUUCACUGCAAUUUAAGACCUAGCAACGUUCUACUAGAUAAUGACAUGGUUGCACAUGUUAGUGAUUUUAGCAUUGCCAAACGCGUAAGUGAAAGAACUGCAGCAACAAAAACCGCGACUAAGGCCACUGCUGGAUAUAUGGCUCCAGGUGACGUUUCUCAUCAUGUUCAACUACAAAAUAUCAUAACAUCAUGCAUUAUAUUGGAUUUUUUAUACUUAAUGCAUUGAUACUGUUUUGAUGUAGAGUAUGAAUCAACUGGAACUGUUUCUGAUAAAACUGAUGUUUAUAGCUUUGGUAUUCUACUGAUGGAAACAUUUACCAGAAAGAAGCCCACAGAUGAAAUAUUUAACGGUGAAAUGAACCUCAGGCAUUGGGUAUGCUCUUCAUUACCUCAUGCAGUUGAGAGUAUUGUAGAUUUCACUUCGCUGCAAUCUUGUUGGAGAGACUUAGCUGCUGAUAGGACAUGUAUAUUAUCAAUCAUGGAAGUGGCCUGUGGUUGUACUGCAGAGUCGCCCGAUGAUAGAAUGACUAUGACAGUAGUUGCAACCAAGCUCGUGAGGAUCAAAAAAGAGUAUCUAAGUGGGAGGAGAUAGCUUUAAUAUGACACCACAGAUUUUUUUUCCUUUUACUUCUUUUACUUUUUCCUCUCUUCUCUUGUUCCUGCUUUUCUAAAUUAAGGGGUAACAGGUUGUUCCUGUCAGAAACAGGGCGCAGAAGAGUGCUUUAGUGAUUCAUCACAUGAUAAAACAUGUUUUUCUUGUAUGAUUUUGUUCAUUAAUUCAGAACCAAUAUACAUCUCUACCCUUUUUAAAUUAAAAAUAUACGUCUCUCCUUUAGCAUUGCUGUAGGACAAUUUAAAAACUAACCAGACUAAAACUGCGGAAAUAAUAGCCUUAUUGUUAUCAAACUUGAUUACAGGUUUGUUACCUUUUCGACUAAGGUGCAAAGUGACUCCAAGAUUUUUGUUUUGACAUUUCAUGAACUUUUCUUUGAUCAACUCGUAGUGAAAAAUUGCUACAGUGGUUGAGUAGGAUCCUCAUUGAUCACAGUGCAAAAACCAUUUGACUUGGCAAUGAAGGGAGAAAAUUUAUUCAUCAGUGUAAGUAGAAUCUGUUUUUCAUAUAAAAUCACGAUAUUGAAAAUCCACAUAAAACGUAUUUGCCUAAAAGUAAAAGAAAAAGAAAGAACUCUUCAUUGGUUUCCAACAAUGCAAAACAACUUUGAUAUUAUAUGGAGUAAUAGUGCUUGGCUACGAAUAUUUUUCUCAAGUCUGGAACAGAAACAACAUUGUAGCCGUCAAACAUAGCAAGGCUAUUAUAAGACAUUGAAUUCCACCAAUGAUAUACCCACUUGAAGUGGGAAUAACAAUUGAAGGAUUGUUGUUCUUCGACGCAGGCUGCGGAAGUGUAGUUCCAGGCUGUGCUUCAGGGGCACCAACAGUCGAAGAUGUUUGAUCACCUUCGACGUUUACUUGAAGCUUCAUGCCUCCAAGACAAUGCAACCUGUUACCAUAAACGAAAUAUCUGGCACCAACAUUUGACAAUGUAACAGUUGUGUUCCCAUUGGAAAAUGUUCUCAGAGUAUCCGUUGUGUUGCAAGUUUUGAAACUUUUUUUGGUUACCUCGCUUACACUGUGAUAUGAUGAGUGUUGGAACACUACAAGAAACAGAAAACAAAUGAAAUUUGUCACUAAACUCAACAGAAGAAAGGAUAUUAGGGUUCCUUAAUUGCUUGUGACAUGAACAAAAAAAAAAAAAGAAAACUCGUUAUCUUUUCUAAGAUGGCAACAAGACACUUGCAUAGAACAUCACCAACAUUGAAUCUCUUGUCACUAACCCAUGAAUCAAUGUCAGUACUUAUGUCCCAGCCGGAUGUGUCCCCAACCACGUACGUUGUAGCAUCACUUGUUAAUGCAAAGCAGAAAAGAACAAGAAAACAAAGCAGAAUCAGCUUGGCCAUGAAUGAGAGAUUAAUUGAUGUUUUUGAGAUGAUGAAAUUUGGCAUUGUAUAUGUACCUCAGGGUUGCUUAUUAUUAGAUGACCUACCUUUAGAACUGCAAAUAUCCUUUUGUUUGUUGUGUCAUAUAUAUUUAUUAUUUUUUAAUGAUUGACAUUGAGUGAAGAACUAAGAAAGAUAUCUAAUUAUUAGCCAGGCCCUUUUGGACCUUUCCUUUUCCAUUGUUUUUGUUGCAAUUGGAAAACAAGUGGUUAAAAUUUGUUGGGUUACAUUAAUAUGGCUGCUUUGCUGUAAAUCUAGUUAAAUCACUAGUUAAUACCCAACCUCCGUUUUGGUCACCCCUGGAACUCUCUGUAACGCCAGUUCAACGCCCCAAAACCACCCCGCACCGAACUGAGCAAACUGCUGACCAGGAGCCGGGACGUCGUCGUCCGGACCCUGAGCGAUGGCGGAGUUUUCCAUUGACGGCGUUGGCUUGUUGUUGGCUCCGAAGCCGAGGUUUUUCAGGAUGUUCAUGCGGGAUUUGUAGACGAAAAUGGAUCGUUUGGCUUGAGGGAAAGGGAAAGAAAGUCGAGAGAAAGAGAAGGGAAGUUUUGGAGAGAUCGAAAAGAAAGGUUUAGAAAUGAGAGAAGAAGAAGAAGAAGAAAAAGAAGUGGCAAGUGUAAGACUCCGUAGCAUUGUUCUUGGGUAUUGGAGUUGGAAAGAACAACAACGGUGACAAUUAUUUUGCUUGUAAAAAAAAUUUUUUUUUGGGGAUUCUUUCUAAUUUUUCAUUUUAAAAAAAUAAAUUAUUUAUUAUGGUGGUUUGCUUUUUCGGUAAAAUGUCAACAACAAGAUUGCUUUAUCUUUUAAAAAGUGGGUGUAAAUUAGAUUUUUUUAAUUAAUUUUUAGUAUAUAUUACCUUAUUAAUUUUGUAUGUAAAAUUUAAAAAAGUAAAAAUAAUUUUUUAGUGAGAAUAGAUAAACUACUAGAUAAGAAUGGAUGACUGUGAGUAUGAUUCUUUUGACAAUGGAAUUAAAAUUGGGGGAUGAUGAUGGUUACUUUUGUACUCUUUCGGGGUUUAUCUAUUUUUUUACUUUUUUGGCGUUGAAUGGAAUGUGGUGGAGGGGGCAGUUGUUACUGACCUUCGAAAGAAGAGUCUAGAACAGUAGCAAGUGUGGUAACAAACGUCAACAAAUGUGUGGCCAUGCCAGCCACACUGUGCAAUUUCAGUGGGUUUUUGGGCCUUUUUCAUCUCAUGAAGAAACGAGCUCGGCCCACUCUAUCAUAAUUAAUCAGGUCAAAACUUUACUUUGGAGUUGGGACAUUGAUUUCAGACAUAUGAACAAGUGAUCCAAUCUGUUACAUGUUCCUUCGACAAUGUAGUUUCUAGCUGCCACCGACAGAAUCUGUCAUCAACCUUCAUAAAUUACUAUAGCAACAUUUUAAAUGUGUUAAUCUUUCAACGUUUGAAUAGGACGACGGAGUGAUUGCUCUUCUUCCCAGUGAAUUCUCUUACAUGAAAUUGAAUCUGGUGUGACCUUGGAGGGUUAGGUCAGGAACAAGGUACAUAAAUCACAACAAAAAGUUUCAGUUGUAAGACUAAGAGAUCCAAAUCUGUAUGAAGCCAUGAAUAGUUUAUGGUUUAAGGUAUUGCCAUUUGCUACAAUCUUUAUUGAAACUGCAAAUUAAACAAACAAGAUAGAGGGAACAUGUUGCACUUUGUAAAAAUCUUCACCUCGAAUCCUAUCCACGAAUGAUUUUGGCAUUUCUUCAAUGUCCAACUCACGUAGGGCACUAAGGGAUCUUGUUCCUUCAGGGAGCAUCUUUAAGUUUCCACAAUUGAUGAUCCGGAAACUCCUAAGCCUUACAACUGCACCUUCUUCAAGAUUUAACUCUUCCAAGGAUUCCAAGGAGUGAAACUCCAGGAACUCAAGUUGAGGAAAGCCACUGACAGAUAUUGCCAUUUUGUCUCCAUCAUAGGAACGUGCUUUUAGUCUCAGAAUCAAUAAUCUUGGCAAGUUCUCUAGUAUCCCCACUGAAGCUUGCUUGAGAUGAGUAUGUGCUAAUGUCAACUGAGACAGAUUUGGUGGGAAUUCCUGCGAGCUAGGUAAUUGCCUUAUCGUUCCUCUCAUAUGCAACUUGACUAGAUUUUGAAGAGCAGAAAAUUGUGUGAACAACGGAAAAUCAGCAUCUUCGGUACGCAGGUACAGGGACUGAAGUUGUACAAGUGCCACAAUGGAGUUGAAUAUUUCAUUAGCUUGCAAGCUGAAGUUUCCUCUGAUUCCCAAUUUCCGCAGGCUGGUUAAAUUUGCAGAGUUGUUUUGCAUCCAUUUUUCGACAUUUAUCUCUGAUAAAGCUUGGAGAUGCUGUAGUGUGUCAAUUCGCAUUGGCCCCCCAUAUUUAUGCCCACACAUAUAAAGAGAUCGUAAUUUUGUUAGCUUCCAUAUUACAUUGGGAAUUGUUUUCAGAUGAAGAUUUGCAGCUACAUCAAGAGUCUGUAGGUUUCGCAAAGAACCUAUGGCUGAUGAAAGCUCCUGUAGGUUCGUCUCCUUUAGCCCCAAGUACUUCAAAUGAAUGAGUAACCCAAUUACGCUCGGAAUGGUAGUACAUGGUAUACCCUCCAACUCCAGAAUUCUGAGCAAUUUGAAAUUUUUGCCAACAUAAUCUAAAUCGCUGCCUUCCAUCUUGUAAGGAUCAUUUCUAUAAUACUUAACCUGGUUUUUGUGAUGAUCAACUCUAAAGAAGAGAAGUGUGCGGAGAUGGGGAUUUGUAUGCUUGCAUUGUCGCCAAUUGAAGGUAGAGUAGAUGGCAUGACGACGACAUCUAGCUGAAGGAUGUGUAUUUUGACUCCCUUGAAUUUCAUGAAAGCUCUCAGCUUUGGCCUUCGAGAUGGAGAGGUCUCGUAGUAGAUCAUGAAGACGACAUUGUUUAACUCUGUCGCUGACACUCAAUUUGGCUACUUGAACCAUGUUUCUCUCAAUUAACUCAUUCAAGUAAUCCUCUGCUACAUCCUCCAUCCUUUCACCUUGCUCUGGUAUCAAACCCUCCGCAAUCCAUAGCCUAAACAAUUUAUGCGAGGGAAUGGGGUGGUCUUCAGGGAACUGUCCGAGAUGGAGGAAACAAGAUUUGAGGUAAUAUGGCAAAUCGUUGUAACUCAAAGCCAGUAUAGCUGAUACCCCAUUUGGGUCUUGAGCAAAGAAUGAGCUCAUAUUGGAAAGAAC
rnacentral:lncRNA from 1 species